rnacentral:rRNA from 1 species
AGGUAGCAUAAUCAAUAGUUUCUUAAUUAGAAGCUGGAAUGAAAGGAUUAACGAAAAAUUAACUGUCUCUAAUUAAAAUUUAAAAUUUUAUUUUUAAGUUAAAAAGCUUAAAUAAAAUUAAAAGACGAGAAGACCCUAUAGAGUUUUAUAUAUUUAUAAUUUUAUUAUUAAUUAAUAAUAUUUUAAAUUUAUUUUAUUGGGGUGAUAAAAAAAUUUAAAUAACUUUUAUUUUAUUAAAUCAAUUGUUGUUGAAUUAAUGAUCCAUUUGAAUGAUUAAAAGAUUAAAUUACCUUAGGGAUAACAGCGUA